rnacentral:rRNA from 1 species
AGCGCGGGAAGCGAGUGGAUCCCUUCGGGGUGAAGCUCGUGGAACGAGCGGCGGACGGGUGAGUAACACGUGGGCAACCUGCCUGUAAGACCGGAAUAACCCCGGGAAACCGGGGCUAAUGCCGGGUAAUACUUUUCUUCGCAUGAAGGAAAGUUGAAAGAUGGCUUCUUGCUAUCACUUACAGAUGGGCCCGCGGCGCAUUAGCUAGUUGGUGAGGUAACGGCUCACCAAGGCGACGAUGCGUAGCCGACCUGAGAGGGUGAUCGGCCACACUGGGACUGAGACACGGCCCAGACUCCUACGGGAGGCAGCAGUAGGGAAUCUUCCGCAAUGGACGAAAGUCUGACGGAGCAACGCCGCGUGAACGAUGAAGGUCUUCGGAUCGUAAAGUUCUGUUGUUAGGGAAGAACAAGUACCGUGCGAAUAGAGCGGUACCUUGACGGUACCUAACGAGGAAGCCCCGGCUAACUACGUGCCAGCAGCCGCGGUAAUACGUAGGGGGCAAGCGUUGUCCGGAAUUAUUGGGCGUAAAGCGCGCGCAGGCGGUUCCUUAAGUCUGAUGUGAAAGCCCACGGCUCAACCGUGGAGGGUCAUUGGAAACUGGGGAACUUGAGGACAGAAGAGGAGAGUGGAAUUCCACGUGUAGCGGUGAAA